rnacentral:rRNA from 1 species
UACGAGGGGUCCAAGCGUUGUUCGGAAUCAUUGGGCGUAAAGCGUGUGCAGGUGGUUUGGUAAGUUGGAUGUGAAAGCCCUGGGCUUAACCCAGGAAGUGCAUUCAAAACUACCAAACUUGAGUAUGGAAGAGGGUCGUGGAAUUCCAGGUGUAGUGGUGAAAUACGUAGAUAUCUGGAGGAACACCGGUGGCGAAGGCGGCGACCUGGUCCUAUACUGACACUCAUACACGAAAGCGUGGGGAUCAAACAGG